GUGCUCGCUUCAGCAGCAUAUAUACUAAAACUGGAACAAUACAGAGAAGAUUAGCAUGACCCAUGUGUAAUUUUUAUAUAUUAAAGUAUUUAAAAAAUUUA
rfam:Homo sapiens chromosome 7, GRCh38 reference primary assembly.